rnacentral:rRNA from 1 species
GACGAACGCUGGCGGCGUGCCUAAUACAUGCAAGUAGAACGCACGGUUUAUACCGUAGCUUGCUACACCAUAGACUGUGAGUUGCGAACGGGUGAGUAACGCGUAGGUAACCUGCCUGGUAGCGGGGGAUAACUAUUGGAAACGAUAGCUAAUACCGCAUAAUAUUAAUUAUUGCAUGAUAAUUAAUUGAAAGGUGCAAUUGCACCACUACCAGAUGGACCUGCGUUGUAUUAGCUAGUAGGUGAGGUAACGGCUCACCUAGGCGACGAUACAUAGCCGACCUGAGAGGGUGAUCGGCCACACUGGGACUGAGACACGGCCCAGACUCCUACGGGAGGCAGCAGUAGGGAAUCUUCGGCAAUGGACGAAAGUCUGACCGAGCAACGCCGCGUGAGUGAAGAAGGUUUUCGGAUCGUAGAGCUCUGUUGUAAGAGAAGAACGGGUGUGAGAGUGGAAAGUUCACACUGUGACGGUAUCUGACCAGAAAGGGACGGCUAACUACGUG